CAGGUGGAAGCCGAAAAACCUGAUUAAAACAGAGUAGGCA
rfam:Pedobacter heparinus DSM 2366, complete genome.